AGUGAACGCUGGCGGUAGGCCUAACACAUGCAAGUCGAACGGCAGCACAGUAAGAGCUUGCUCUUACGGGUGGCGAGUGGCGGACGGGUGAGGAAUACAUCGGAAUCUACUUUUUCGUGGGGGAUAACGUAGGGAAACUUACGCUAAUACCGCAUACGACCUACGGGUGAAAGCAGGGGAUCUUCGGACCUUGCGCGAUUGAAUGAGCCGACGUCGGAUUAGCUAGUUGGCGGGGUAAAGGCCCACCAAGGCGACGAUCCGUAGCUGGUCUGAGAGGAUGAUCAGCCACACUGGAACUGAGACACGGUCCAGACUCCUACGGGAGGCAGCAGUGGGGAAUAUUGGACAAUGGGCGCAAGCCUGAUCCAGCCAUACCGCGUGGGUGAAGAAGGCCUUCGGGUUGUAAAGCCCUUUUGUUGGGAAAGAAAAGCAGCAGGUUAAUACCCCGCUGUUCUGACGGUACCAAAAGAAUAAGCACCGGCUAACUUCGUG
rnacentral:rRNA from 1 species